UGUAGAUGUUCAAUUUUUGUUCUUAUUUGUUUUUUUUACUCUAUUUUUAAACUAGGGCUUUUUAAUUUGGGGAUACUUUACUCGAUUUCAAAUUACGGUUUUUUAAUCGAUUAUGAAAUUUGGGUUUUGGAUUUAGGGUUUUUUUUACUGGUUGGAACUAAGGUUUAAGAAGUUUUACAAUAAGGUCUUUAUAGUUGUUCAUAUUUUUUUUUUGAAAUGAUAUCCAUUCUGUUACUGAAGAUGAUAUUUAUUUUGUUAGUGAAAGGUUGUAUCCAUGUCCCUGUUUCAGAAAUGUUUUGAUAUGGCCUAGUUUGGGGUCACGUACGUGUUUUCAUGUCCGACAUUCAUAAUCAUGUAUCUUUAACACUUUACAUGCAUCUUAUGUUGUCCCGGUGCGCUAAAACUUCACAACUUUAGCUUUUUGGAAGACUAAUCUGACUAAUCUGGGGACUGGGUACUUGAGCUAGUUUCACUAGUAUUACUCCUAUGCUAUCAACUGUAAUACCAGGGGUUCAAUCUGCAGCAGACACGGCCAAUACAAUGAAGCUGAUACUGAACAAAAUACACAGGAAUCAUUCCUACCCUAAAGAGAUAAUCAGACAAUGGUUAUCUCUAUCUUUGACUGACUUUAUAUUUUAUUUUACAUGUAUAAUAUUGGUCUCUGAUUCUCGAGGUUGGAUUUACAGGCCGCAGAGAUUGAGAAGCGUCUAGCUCAAGAAACGAAGGCUGAGAAUCAUAAUUAGAAACUACCACUGCUUGGGUGCAUUUGAAAGGGUCUUGUGGUACCAGCUGAAAGGAAUGGCUCAAGAUGCUUCAAAUUGCAUUAAGUCUACAUAGCCAUCUCUUUUGACCACUUGGUGGAGUCUAAACCAGAUUGGAAUGAAACAAAAUUCUUUAUAAAAUGGAAGGGGCUGUCGUAUUGACACUGCCAGUGGAAAUCAUUUUCAGAUCUCCAAAAUGUUGAGGUCCAUGAUGUGCGCAAGGAAAUGGAGUUAAAUCCCUCUUUUUUGGUGUCUGUUGAUCUGUUACCAUCUUAUGAUUCUUAUCUAAGUUUAUGACUUUUUAUCCAAAUGGAAUUACCUGGUUGAACAUAUUUUUGCUGGUAGAGUCAAAGGUGGUUCAGAUGAUACUGAGAGAAUAUCCUAUGCUGAAGCGACCUGCUUAGUGGGAUCAAAAAGGUGGUGAACUACUCCAAAAGAGUGAUGGAGGAAAGGAGAUACAGAAUGACUCUGAGGUUUAAAAAAGGAACCUCCUGCAUUGAUAAGAAUUUUUAUGUGUACCCUGCAAGAGCUAUCUUUCCAUACUGUCAAGCACUAGAGAAGUUAGCUCCCUAUAGUUGAUCUCCACUUUUCUCAUGUCAGGUUUUAAACUUGGGGAUGUGAAACAUACAUCAGAAGCAAUAGUGAAGAAGUACAAUGUUGUAGGCUGACUUGUGAAGUUGAAGGACUAACUGUGGUGAAAUAACCCAGGUUAGUGAACUAGAUAUAAGUUGGCAAAAGGCUUCCAGGUGCAUCCGCAAAACUUAAACGCAUGCAAAAUUCUCAAACGGUAGAAGAUAACGGAGAAGAACAUGAAGAGCAUGGAACCCAAGAAGAAGAGGCUGUUGAUGUCGAUGUUGAUUCUACAGAUGGCGCUAUUCUUGUCAACAGUAAUGAAGUUGAAGAAGAGUGGGAUACAACUAAUGAAGGAACCUUAUCAUCCUAAAAGCAAUUGGUUUGGCUAAAUAGGUCGCAGAUAUGAGCAGUAAGUGCGACUAUUUACAAGGCUGGUUAUGAAGCAACAAGAAGCUAUACUUGUUUGAGCAUGUAGGUAAUGAAUGUUGAGCUUGUCUCCAGUCUUGUGCCUUUAAGAUUGUAUCUACUACUGCUAUUACACAUUACAUUACAACUGCAACUGCAAAA